UACAGAGGUCCCAAGCGUUGUUCGGAUUCACUGGGCGUAAAGGGUGCGUAGGCGGCGCGGUAAGUCGGGUGUGAAAUCUCGAGAGACUUAACCUACCGAACUGCUUCGAUACUGCCGUGCUUGAGGACUGGAGAGGAGACUGGAAUUUACGGUGUAGCGGUGAAAUGCGUAGAUAUCGUAAGGAAGACCAGUGGCGAAGGCGGGUCUCUGGACAGUUCCUGACGCUGAGGCACGAAGGCCAGGGGAGCAAACGGG
rnacentral:rRNA from 1 species